rnacentral:rRNA from 1 species
UUAAAAAGCUCGUAGUUGAAUUUCGGGAUCAGUACGUUGGUCGUGCCUUAGGUACGUACUGGUGUUACUGGUUUCUACCUUCUGACGAACCAUCAUGUCAUUAAUUUGGUGUGGCGGGGAAUCAGGACUGUUACUUUGAAAAAAUUAGAGUGUUUAAAGCAGGCUCGCGCUUGAAUACAUUAGCAUGGAAUAAUGAAAUAGGACGUUGAUCCUAUUUUGUUGGUUUCUAGGAUUGACGUAAUGAUUAAUAGGGAUAGUUGGGGG